rnacentral:rRNA from 1 species
AAAAGAAACCAACAGGGAUUGCCUCAGUAACGGCGAGUGAAGCGGCAACAGCUCAAAUUUGAAAUCUGGCCCCCCCCCGGGGGGGCCCGAGUUGUACUUUGGAGAGGAUGCUUUGGGCGCGGCGCCUUCCGAGUUCCUUGGAACAGGACGCCAGAGAGGGUGAGAGCCCCGUACGGUUGGACGCCUAGCCCGUGCAAAGCUCCUUCGACGAGUCGAGUAGUUUGGGAAUGCUGCUCAAAAUGGGAGGUAAAUUUCUUCUAAAGCUAAAUACCGGCCAGAGACCGAUAGCGCACAAGUAGAGUGAUCGAAAGAUGAAAAGCACUUUGAAAAGAGGGUUAAACAGCACGUGAAAUUGUUGAAAGGGAAGCGCCUGUGGCCAGACGUGCGCCCCGCGGACCACCCGCCGCCUCGCGCGGCGGGGCACGCCGCGGCGGCGCAGGCCAGCAUCGGCUCUCCCAGGGGGACAAAGGUCGCGGGAACGUAGCUCCUCCGGGAGUGUUAUAGCCCGCGGCGUCAUGCCCUUGGGGGGGCCGAGGA